rnacentral:SRP_RNA from 1 species
GCCGGGUGUGGUGGCGCAUGCCUGUAGUCCCAGCUACUCGGGAGGCUGAGGCAGAAGAAUUGCUUGAACCCGGGAGGCAGAGGUUGCAGUGAGCCAAGAUCACACCACUGCACUCCAGCCUGGGUGACAGAGUGAGACUCUGUUUCAA